rnacentral:rRNA from 1 species
UACAGAGGGUGCAAGCAUUAAUCGGAUUUAUUGGGCGUAAAGGGCGCGUAGGCGGACUGAUAAGUCAGAUGUGAAAUCCCGGGGCUCAACCCCGGAACAGCAUUUGAAACUGUCGAUCUAGAGGGUAGGAGGAGAAAAUGGAAUUCCACGUGUAGCGGUGAAAUGCGUAGAUAUGUGGAAGAACACCGGUGGCGAAGGCGAUUUUCUAUCUUAUACCUGACGCUGAGGCGCGAAAGCAAGAGGAUCAAACAGG